UGGGGAAUCUUGCGCAAUGGUCUAACGACUGACGCAGCGACGCCGCGUGUGGGAGGACGCCUUUCGGGGUGUAAACCACUGUUGCCCGGGACGAACAGCCCUUUUCGAGGGGUCUGACGGUACCGGGUGAGGAAGCACCGGCUAACUCCGUGCCAGCAGCCGCGGUAAUACGGAGGGUGCGAGCGUUGUCCGGAAUCAUUGGGCGUAAAGGGCGCGUAGGUGGCCCGGUCAGCGGGCGGUGAAAGCUCGGGGCUCAACCCCGAGUCGGCCGUGCGAACUACUGGGCUGGAGCACUGUAGAGGCAGGCGGAAUUCCGGGUGUAGCGGUGGAAUGCGUAGAGAUCCGGAAGAACACCGGUGGCGAAGGCGGCCUGCUGGGCAGUUGCUGACACUGAGGCGCGACAGCGUGGGGAGCAAAC
rnacentral:rRNA from 1 species